rnacentral:rRNA from 1 species
AUGUAUAGAGGCAUGAAGAUACCAGCAGUGGCUGCCCUUGCUUUUGUUGUUCUCACUGGAGUCUCACUAGCAAGUCCUGGUUACUGGGCACAUGAUUGUGAUGGGAACUACACAGUGCCCAGAAGCUACCAGAAGAGCUUGGAGCAGCUGUCUGCAGGGCUGCCCGAUGCGGUGUCCUCCUCCCCAGAUCUGUUUGACAAAAAGGUUCUCGGAUCCUGGGGGGGCAGGGUAUAUGGCCUGGGGCGUUGUCGUCCUGGUACAGAUGCAUCUACAUGCAAGGCAUGUCUCAAUGAAGCCUUCCAGGAUGCACGGGUCGUAUGCCCAUCGAGGAAGAGGGUGUACAUGUUCUACGAACUUUGUACCCUAGCUUUCAGCGACCAGGACAUUCUAUCUCACUCGACCUGGAACAAAGGUGUCAGUAAGGUCAAUGGUUCUCAGGUGCCUGCCCAGUGCAGCAAUGUAUUCAACAAGGCUGUCAAUGGAUUGAUCAUAUAUUUGGUGAAGAUGGCAGCUGAUUCCCCUCACAGGUUUGCCACGGGGCAAAAAAAGUUAACUGGAGAUGCUUGCACAUACAGCCUAUAUGGCCUUGCGGAGUGUUUGCCAAACAUGUCAGCUGCCAACUGUACUGACUGUUUAGAGAACUUGGCGGAUGUACCUCUUCUUCUUGGGUAUGAGAGCGAGUGGAGAUCUGCAGUGAUGUGCAGCUACAGGUUGGAGCCACGCCCCUUCUUUGACAUUGGUAAGGGCGGGUUAGCCACCCCCGCAGGAAAAAACGGGAAGAAGCAGGUUUGA